rnacentral:rRNA from 1 species
GAUGAACGCUAGCGGCAGGCCUAAUACAUGCAAGUCGAGGGGUAGAAGAGGCUUGCUUCUUUGAGACCGGCGCACGGGUGCGUAACGCGUAUGCAACCUACCUUCAUCUGGGGGAUAGCCCGGAGAAAUCCGGAUUAAUACCGCAUAAAAUCACAGGAUGGCAUUAUCCAAUGAUCAAACAUUUAUGGGAUGGAGAUGGGCAUGCGUGUCAUUAGCUAGUUGGCGGGUAACGGCCCACCAAGGCGACGAUGACCAGGGGAUCUGAGAGGAUGGCCCCCCACACUGGUACUGAGACACGGACCAGACUCCUACGGGAGGCAGCAGUAAGGAAUAUUGGUCAAUGGAGGCAACUCUGAACCAGCCAUGCCGCGUGCAGGAAGACUGCCCUAUGGGUUGUAAACUGCUUUUAUUCGGGAAUAAACCUUAUUACGUGUAAUAAGCUGAAUGUACCGAAGGAAUAAGGAUCGGCUAACUCCGUGCCAGCAGCCGCAGUAA